rnacentral:rRNA from 1 species
UGAACGCUGGCGGCGUGCUUAAUACAUGCAAGUCGAACGAAGAGUGUAGCAAUAUACUCUUAGUGGCGAACGGGUGAGUAACGCGUUGGUGACCUGCCCCGAAGUGAGGGAUAACAGUUCGAAAGGACUGCUAAUACCCAUGUGGUCUUAGGGACUAGACGCCUUUUGACUAAAGGUGCAAACCGCUUCGGGAGGGACCUGCGUCCCAUCAGCUUGUUGGUAGGGUAACGGCCUACCAAGGCGACGACGGGUAGGGGGCCUGAGAGAGUGACCCCCCACACUGGCACUGAAACACGGGCCAGACACCUACGGGUGGCGGCGGUAGGGAAUAUUGCACAAUGGGCGAAAGCCUGAUGCAGCAACGCCGCGUGCACGAUGAAGGCCUUCGGGUCGUAAAGUGCUUUUUGGGGGGAUGAGGAAGGACAGUAUCCCCAGAAUAAGUCUCGGCUAACUACGU